AUCAAAGGAAGGCAGCAGGCGCGCAAAUUACCCACUCCCAGGAUCGGGGAGGUAGUGACGAAAAAUAACAAUACGGGACUCUUAUGAGACCCCGUAAUUGGAAUGAGUACACUCUAAAACCUUUAACGAGGAUCCAUUCGAGGGCAAGUCUGGUGCCAGCAGCCGCGGUAACCCCAGCUCGAAUAGCGUAUAUUAAAGUUGUUGCGGUUAAAAAGCUCGUAGUUGGAUCUCAGUUCCAGACGGGUGGUCCGCCUACCGGUGGUCACUGCCUGUUCUGAACAGCCAGCCGGUUUCUCUUGAUGAUCUUCACCGGUUGUCUUGGGUGACCGGCAAGUUUACUUUGAAAAAAUUAGAGUGCUCAAAGCAGGCGUGACGCCUGAAUAAUGGUGCAUGGAAUAAUGGAAUAGGACCUCGGUUCUAUUUUGUUGGUUUUCUGAACACGAGGUAAUGAUUAAGAGGGACAGACGGGGGCAUUCGUAUUGCGACGCUAGAGGUGAAAUUCUUGGACCGUCGCAAGACGAACUACUGCGAAAGCAUUUGCCAAGAAUGUUUCCAUUAAUCAAGAACGAAAGUUAGAGGUUCGAAGGCGAUCAGAUACCGCCCUAGUUCUAACCAUAAACGAUGCCAGCUAGCGAUCCGGCUGUGUUCCUCAAAUGACACGCCGGGCAGCUUCCGGGAAACCAAAGCCUUUGGGUUCCGGGGGGAGUAUGGUUGCAAAGCUGAAACUUAAAGGAAUAGACGGAAGGGCACCACCAGGAAUGGAGCCUGCGGCUUAAUUUGACUCAACACGGGAAAACUCACCCGGCCCGGGACACAGGAAGGAUUGACAGAUUAAGAGCUCUUUCUUGAUUCUGUGGGUGGUGGUGCAUGGCCGCUCUUAGUUUCG
rnacentral:rRNA from 1 species